rnacentral:lncRNA from 1 species
AGACCUAUCACAAAGAUAGGUUGUUGACUUAAAUGUCUGGUAUUAUUUAUUUGCUUUAGCAGAGACCCAAAGUCCUCAUCAACAAUUCACAUCAUCCACCACAGAAAGAACAUCGAGAAAGCAUCCCACACUUCAUGGCACAAGCUCGCCAAUCACAACAACAGGGCAUAUAGCUUUGACAACAACAAAUGAAGUUGUCACAACCAAAACAAGAAGAACCACCAGCCAGCCAACUUUGAUGAGCACAACAAAAGAGACGGAGUCUAUUACAACAACCAAUGAGACAACAACCAGCUACACAAGCAGAGAAUAUAUGACAACAACAUCGUCACAUACGCUGUCAGGCUCUUUCACUACAACAACAGGUGAAGCCAUUUACUAUGAUGGGUUAAGGUGCAUGGGGCUAACUAGUUAACACAAAAAAUAACAUUCUGUCAUUAUUUACUCACCCUUGUGUCAUCCCAAGCCAAUAUGACUUUCUUUCUUCCACAGAACCCAAAAGGAGAAGUUUAGCAGAAUGUUCACGCUGCUCUUUUCCAUAUAGUAUAUAAAGACCAAGAGCUGUCAAGCUCUUUAUUUACUCAUGUACACAUUCAAUCUUCCUAUAAACAUGUCGCAACAAGUUUGAAAAAGUCAUAGAGGUUUGGAAAAACAUAAAUGAUGACAGAAUUUCCAUAAUAAUCUUCAUUAAGCUAAAUCAUUGUUUAGGUAUAAAAAUGUGUUCUAACACUUAUUAAUCCGGGCUCAGACUACAGGAGUUUUAAAAUCCUAACCGAUUAUGAAAUCUGGUUGCAGCACAC